AACGUAGGACGCAAACGUUAUCCGGAAUUACUGGGCGUAAAGGGCGCGCAGGCGGUUGUUUAAGUUAGGCAUGAAAGCUCCCUGGCUAAACCGGGAGAGGAUGUCUGAUACUGGACGACUAGAGUACGUUAGAGGGGUGUAGAAUUCCGCGUGUAGUGGUGAAAUGCGUAGAGAUGCGGAGGAAUACCAGAGGCGAAGGCGGCACCCUGGGACGAGACUGACGCUGAGGCGCGAAAGCAUGGGUAGCGAACGGG
rnacentral:misc_RNA from 1 species